AUGUUGCAGAACAUUAUAACUCAAUUGUCUGCAAAUUUGUGGGUGGCAAAAGGAUCAAUUUUUCCUUGAGAGGCGGCUAUGAAAUGAGAUGUAGGGCAGCUGCUAUUUCUUUCAAUUCUGGUGGCAGUUAUUAUAGUGUUCUUGGCCGAACAAUAACAAACAAAAGCCCACCCCCCAUUAUUAAAAAAUAUAUGAACAAAAUUACUUCAAGGCGAAGAAGUAAGCAGUUUUGUGUGAAAAGAAGAGGAUUGAAGAAAUUCGAAAAAUCAACUCUGCCAGAUGAAGAUUAUGGCCCUGAGUCCAAUCCGGAACCUGAUAUGGAGGCAGAAUUAUUUGAGUAACAGAAGAUUAGGUUCCUUCAAUGUAUGAAGAAGACAAUUCCCGAAAUGGAAAAAGUAGAAAGGCUCACAAGCAGUGGCGGUUCUACUAUACUGCGAAACCCCGCGACGCGGAACUGAAUAUAUUCUCCAUUCUUACGACUCUUACUUUGAUGUGCUGCAAAUGUUCUACCCUCUGUAUGCAGUACCUGCACGUUAUUAUUUGUCGCAAGCCAUCCCAGUCCAGUCCCUAGCCAACUUCUUCCCAAAUCGAAGCUUUCAGCUCAGCACUAGGGAUUUUCCAAAUUAAAAAUCAUUAAAAUUAAUUUACGGAAUAAAAUGUCACAAGGGAGACUAAGUAGACUUGCAAUAUUAUCCAUAGAAGCAGAAGAAGCAGCUGCAAUGGAUAAAUCAAUUUUUAUAAACGAAUUUGCAGAUAGAAAGGCAAGAAGAAGAGAUUUUCACUGAGUUUAAAACCUAGACACGCCACUGCUCACAAGAGGGCAACGGUCCAAUCCUACAUGGAAGCAGGAACGACUUUCGCGGUUGACUGCAACAAAUUUUGGGGAAAUAUGUAAAUUGAGGAAGACCACUUCCUGCGAGAAAGUGGUCAAAAACCUAUUAUAUUCCCCAUUUUUUGGAACCGAAUCGACUAGGUAUGGACUCGAACACGAAUCAGUUGCUAUAAAAGCAUUCGAGCAACAAUUCAAAGUUGCUGUUGUUCCUUGUGGGCUCUUUAUUGAUAGGAACCAUUUCAUUUUUGGCGCUAGCCCUGAUGGGUUGGUUGGAGUAGACUCCAUCAUAGAGGUUAAAUGUCCAGCCAGUUGCAAGAAUAUUCAUCCCUCUGAAGGGAUAGAAAGAAAAAUCAUCAAAUUUGCUACAUUAAAUGAAAAUAAGGAAAUGGUCCUAAGAAGAAACCACAAUUAUUUCUAUCUCUUUUUUUGCUACACCGGGUUGGAUUUCUAUGCUUUAUUUUUAUAUAUAAACGAUAUAACUGAAGUUUUUUUAUUGUUAUAUCACAAGAAUUCUAACCUACAACUCCUACAAGAACGACUCGGAAUAACACACUGAGGCUUUAGCCUAGGAAAAAUGAAAGAGGUACUUUGUAACAAUAAAUAUUUUUAUUUGAGGAUAUAUAAAAUGAAGUUAAUAACAAUAUUGAAUAAACUAAUAUUUGUUUGUCCAUAUAUCCAAUAAAUGAUUUAUUUACUAUAAUGCAUUUUCGAUAAUAUCGAAUAAACACUUCUCUCGGUGUAGAAAUUCGAAAAUAAUUCUAUUCACACUUCAAUAUCAACAUCGCAGCCUCCGAAGCAUUAAGUUCCAAUUACAUUUCUCCCAGUUCGAAAAACAAUAAAAAGAGAUUUGAAAUCAAAGAACCACCCCCAGCAUCAGGUAGGAUCGUAAUAUGGCAGGUAAAUAUAAAUAACUGAAGAUUAUUGAGGGGGGAUUAUGUCUCAAGCCCCUACCGUUCCGUUCACGUGGGGGAGAUUGUUUUAAUAUCAGAGCAAAACGUCCUAAGCCCUGUUAGGCAUUUCAUCGUUGAUAUUUACCGAAAUAAUGGCAUUAACGUCAUACCGAACCCCUGUGCACGAGGUUGCAACCUUUGAGAUAUUGUUACGGUUUUCCUUUCAUGCUCUCUUCAUGAUCUCGGCCUUGCAAUGAUUCAUGAUGUACCCUAUAUUUUCUCAUAGGCCCAAAUGUUGCUAGACAUUUAGUUAUUUUGUAAUCAAUAAAAUAUCGUAUUGAGUAUUGAAGCUCUUUUUACGAAAGUAGAACUAUCUGCUAGAUUGUCUAGGUUGCCAUUUUACACAUACCAUGAAAAUAUUCUGAUUGCUGAUUUUUUUACAUAUUGUACACACAUAAUUGAUGAAUUUAUAAUCAAUAUUUGCUGAACGCAACUGACUUGGAGUCACCAAGGGGGCAGCUGCCCCUCCCCCCUGCCAGAGGGGGUAUUCGACUCUCGAAUUCGAAUUCUUCCUCAAACUCGAAUCGGCCCAUGUGUAAGCAAAAUAUUUGCCGAACGAAAAAAAACUAGAAACUUGAAAUUUUCAGGCUAGGUUCUGAUCUCGAAUGCCGCAGUUCGUUGAUGGGCAAAGUUUCCGUAAAUAUGAUCGUUCAAAUUUUUUCAAAUUUUUAUUUAUUUCACCUACACCUUCGAUCCAGAUUAAAAUUUGUAAUUGGAUACAGAAUGAUAAUUUUGAGCCUCGUGCAAUCAGAAUCAUAAAAAAUUUAAACAUAAUAAUUAAAAAAAUUAACCAAUAUUCACGAACCACACAACAAAUGAAGAAUGGAGUUGAUUUUGGUGUUGAGAUAUGAAAUACCGAUUGCAAGUUGCUAUAAGUGAUUUGCAUUAUUUCAUACUUUUCUCAUCAAAUAGUGAUUUUGUUCAUCUUCCAUGCCUUCAUCUCGAUUUAUUAAUGAGUAUUAAUAAAAACUAUCCUUCAUUCUAGUCAUUAUUACUAGAUGCUAGCUUAUUUUCUUGUAAAAGGUCAACUUGAAAAAUAAUUGAUUACUACACUAAACCCAUACCUAUAGUAAACUGUGUCUGUGACUAGUAUACAUGUUGAUUAACUUUAAAUCAUUUUACCAAUACACUCUUCCUGUAAUAUUAAAUUUUAUUUAAGUCGAUUCAAUUUAUUUCCUUCAAAUUUGGGUACAGAUUGAUCAAAAUAUUAAGAAUAUUGCUGCUAGAAUGAAUUUCAAGAUCGAACACAUUAGCCUAGACAUGAUUGCACUUGCGGAUUCAACUUCUGACAUCUCUGAAUUUUGAUACCUUAGUUCACAAUCCGAUCAUUCAUAUUUUUCAUCAAUGAAAUUCCAACUGUAUGAUUUGUGUCCGAUCAUCCUCGUUGCGAUCACCUUUUCCGGAUAGUUAGUAUCAUUGAGAUAUAAGUUACCGUGUCACAUCAUUAGUUAUCUACACAGCAAAGAAUUAUUUUAAGCAAAGAAUAUCUCCAUCAUGUACCACUUUUGAAGUAAAAUAAUGUAUUAAAUAAUGUAUUAUUUAUUUAUUUUGAGAGCAGUAAUUUGAGAAUUAGCAAUAUCUCUUUCUUUCAUACAAGACAAUUGAAAAAUUAAUAUCAAAUCUUCAAUAAAUGCCAAAUUCAGACUUCAGAUAAGUUCGUACCUUAACAUGAGAUCAAAGAAUUCUCAAAAUUAUAUAUCAUUACCUUUUUAAAAAAUAUUAAUGACACUCAAUACAUAAAAUUUCAAAUCAUUAUUGAAAGCAAUAUAUAUUUCUUACGAAAAAAUAUUUAUUCAAAAAAUCCUAUCAAAGUAUGUAAUUUGAAUGAAAUUAAUAUUCAGGCGGAAAUCGAAUAAAUCCAUCUUGGUCUAUUCAUUACGAAUGCAUUUUUGUAUUUGUAAGAUCCAUGGUGAAAGUUCCAACUGUUAUCAGUGAUGGGAGAUAAGACCUAUGGUCAUUUACAAAUAACCCAUUAUUUCGUCGUUAAGCACUCAUUACUAUUGGUACCUAGCUUGAAAUUAAGGGAAAGUUAACUGACUACUAAAUCUAGUAAUAGGGUAUCUGUGAAGUAUAUAAACUGCUAUGAAUUAAUUUCACAACAACUGUGUUUCGAAUACUCUCAUAGAGUCUACUACCGUAAUCAAACGAGCCAACUCUUUCUGAUAUUAAUAAUAUUGAAAUAGUGUUAUAGUUUUUA